GCCUUCGUGGUGUAACGGGGAACAUUCGACGCGUGUUCGAGGAAUCCGGGUUCGAGUCCCGGCUGGGGCA
rnacentral:tRNA from 1 species